rnacentral:rRNA from 1 species
CCAGACUCCUACGGGAGGCAGCAGUGGGGAAUAUUGGGCAAUGGGCGCAAGCCUGACCCAGCAACGCCGCGUGAAGGAAGAAGGCUUUCGGGUUGCAAACUUCUUUUAUCAGGGACGAAGCAAGUGACGGUACCUGAUGAAUAAGCCACGGCUAACUACGUGCCAGCAGCCGCGGUAAUACGUAGGUGGCGAGCGUUAUCCGGAUUUAUUGGGUUUAAAGGGUGCGUAGGCGGGCAUUUAAGCCGGCGGUCAAAUGUCGGGGCUCAACCCCGGCCUGCCGUCGGAACUGGGUGCCUUGAGUGGGCGAGAAGUAUGCGGAAUGCGUGGUGUAGCGGUGAAAUGCAUAGAUAUCACGCAGAACCCCGAUUGCGAAGGCAGCAUACCGGCGCCCUACUGACGCUGAGGCACGAAAGUGCGGGUAUCGAACAGGAUUAGAUACCCCUGUA